rnacentral:rRNA from 1 species
UGAAACCGUGUGCCUACAAGUAGUUAGAGCCCGUUAAUGGGUGAUAGCGUGCCUUUUGUAGAAUGAACCGGCGAGUUACGAUUUGUUGCAAGGUUAAGCGGAAAAAGCGGAGCCGUAGCGAAAGCGAGUCUGAAUAGGGCGCAUAAGUAACAGGUCGUAGACCCGAAACCAGGUGAUCUACCCAUGUCCAGGAUGAAGGUAAGGUAAUACUUACUGGAGGUCCGAACCCACGCACGUUGAAAAGUGCGGGGAUGAGGUGUGGGUAGCGGAGAAAUUCCAAUCGAACUUGGAGAUAGCUGGUUCUCUCCGAAAUAGCUUUAGGGCUAGCCUCGAGGUAAAGAGUCAUGGAGGUAGAGCACUGUUUGGACUAGGGGCCCUUCUCGGGUUACCGAAUUCAGAUAAACUCCGAAUGCCAUGUACUUAUACUCGGGAGUCAGACUGCGAGUGAUAAGAUCCGUAGUCGAAAGGGAAACAGCCCAGACCACCAGUUAAGGUCCCCAAAUAUAUGUUAAGUGGAAAAGGAUGUGGGGUUGCUUAGACAACCAGGAUGUUGGCUUAGAAGCAGCCACCAUUGAAAGAGUGCGUAAUAGCUCACUGGUCGAGUGACCCCGCGCCGAAAAUGUACCGGGGCUAAACAUAUUACCGAAACUGUGGAUGAACCUCUUUAGAGGUUCGUGGUAGGAGAGCGUUCUAAGGGCGGUGAAGUCAGACCGGAAGGACUGGUGGAGCGCUUAGAAGUGAGAAUGCCGGUAUGAGUAGCGAAAGAAGGGUGAGAAUCCCUUCCACCGAAUAUCUAAGGUUUCCUGAGGAAGGCUCGUCCGCUCAGGGUUAGUCGGGACCUAAGCCGAGGCCGAUAGGCGUAGGCGAUGGACAACAGGUAGAGAUUCCUGUACCAGUGCUAAUUGUUUAACCGAUGGGGUGACACAGAAGGAUAGGGAAUCGCACGAAUGGAAAUGUGCGUCCAAGCAGUGAGUGUGAGAAGUAGGCAAAUCCGCUUCUCGCGAAGCAUGAGCUGUGAUGGGGAAGGAAAUUAAGUACGGAAGUUCCUGAUUUCACGCUGUCAAGAAAAGCCUCUAGGAAGAGUAGUACUGCCCGUACCGCAAACCGACACAGGUAGAUGAGGAGAGAAUCCUAAGGUGAGCGAGAGAACUCUCGUUAAGGAACUCGGCAAAAUGACCCCGUAACUUCGGGAGAAGGGGUGCUCUAUUAGGGUGCAAGCCCGAGAGAGCCGCAGUGAAUAGGCCCAGGCGACUGUUUAGCAAAAACACAGGUCUCUGCAAAACCGUAAGGUGACGUAUAGGGGCUGACGCCUGCCCGGUGCUGGAAGGUUAAGAGGAGUGCUUAGCUUCGGCGAAGGUACGAAUUGAAGCCCCAGUAAACGGCGGCCGUAACUAUAACGGUCCUAAGGUAGCGAAAUUCCUUGUCGGGUAAGUUCCGACCCGCACGAAAGGCGCAACGAUCUGGGCACUGUCUCAACGAGAGACUCGGUGAAAUUAUAGUACCUGUGAAGAUGCAGGUUACCCGCGACAGGACGGAAAGACCCCGUGGAGCUUUACUGCAACCUGAUAUGGAAUGUUUGUACCGCUUGUACAGGAUAGGUAGGAGCCGAAGAGACGUGUGCGCUAGCAUACGAGGAGGCAAUGGUGGGAUACUACCCUGGCUGUAUGACCAUUCUAACCCGCCACGCUUAGCGCGUGGGGAGACAGUGUCAGGUGGGCAGUUUGACUGGGGCGGUCGCCUCCUAAAGAGUAACGGAGGCGCCCAAAGGUUCCCUCAGAAUGGAUGGAAAUCAUUCGCAGAGUGUAAAGGCACAAGGGAGCUUGACUGCGAGACUGACAAGUCGAGCAGGGACGAAAGUCGGGCUUAGUGAUCCGGUGGUUCCGCAUGGAAGGGCCAUCGCUCAACGGAUAAAAGCUACCCCGGGGAUAACAGGCUUAUCUCCCCCAAGAGUCCACAUCGACGGGGAGGUUUGGCACCUCGAUGUCGGCUCGUCGCAUCCUGGGGCUGUAGUCGGUCCCAAGGGUUGGGCUGUUCGCCCAUUAAAGCGGCACGCGAGCUGGGUUCAGAACGUCGUGAGACAGUUCGGUCCCUAUCCGUCGCGGGCGCAGGAAAUUUGAGAGGAGCUGUCCUUAGUACGAGAGGACCGGGAUGGACACACCGCUGGUGUACCAGUUGUUCCGCCAGGAGCAUCGCUGGGUAGCUAUGUGUGGCAGGGAUAAACGCUGAAAGCAUCUAAGCGUGAAGCCCCCCUCAAGAUGAGAUUUCCCAUUUCUUCGGAAAGUAAGAUCCCUGAAAGAUGAUCAGGUAGAUAGGUUUGGAGUGGAAGUGUAGCGAUACAUGGAGCGGACAAAUACUAAUCGAUCGAGGACUUAACCAAAA